UCCAGGCCGGCUGACUCAGCAGUGAUUCAUUAAGACCCGGAAAGUGACUUCUGUAAGACACGGUGCAGAGAAGGAGAGCAGCGCUGAGCCUCCUCGCCCCGAGCUAAACUCCCUCUCAGAGAAGAGGCCAAGACAUGCUGUAAGUGAGAAGCUUAAGUAUUUCUCAAAAAGAGCCCUUCUAUCGGCACGCCGGCCAAGUGAAGCAGCGUGUCCCUGUUGAACAGUGCCGGGAAGCGAG